rnacentral:rRNA from 1 species
UACGGAGGAUGCAAGCGUUAAUCGGAAUUACUGGGCGUAAAGCGUACGCAGGCGGGCAAUUAAGUCAGCUGUGAAAGCCCCGAGCUUAACUAGAGAAUUGCAUCUGAAACUGGUUGGCUAGAGUCUUGUAGAGGGGGGUAGAAUUCCAUGUGUAGCGGUGAAAUGCGUAGAGAUGUGGAGGAAUACCGGUGGCGAAGGCGGCCCCCUGGACAAAGACUGACGCUCAGGUGCGAAAGCGAGGGGAGCGAACAGG